rnacentral:rRNA from 1 species
AUACGGAGGGGGCUAGCGUUGUUCGGAAUUACUGGGCGUAAAGCGCGCGUAGGCGGAUUGACAAGUUGGAGGUGAAAUCCCGGGGCUCAACCCCGGAACUGCCUUCAAAACUGUCAGUCUUGAGUUCGGAAGAGGUGAGUGGAAUUCCUAGUGUAGAGGUGAAAUUCGUAGAUAUUAGGAAGAACACCAGUGGCGAAGGCGACUCACUGGUCCGAUACUGACGCUGAGGUGCGAAAGCGUGGGGAGCAAACAGGAUUAGAAACCCCAGUAGUCC